rnacentral:rRNA from 1 species
GAUGAACGCUGGCGGCGUGCCUAAUACAUGCAAGUCGAGCGAACAGACGAGGAGCUUGCUCCUCUGACGUUAGCGGCGGACGGGUGAGUAACACGUGGAUAACCUACCUAUAAGACUGGGAUAACUUCGGGAAACCGGAGCUAAUACCGGAUAAUAUAUUGAACCGCAUGGUUCAAUAGUGAAAGACGGUUUUGCUGUCACUUAUAGAUGGAUCCGCGCCGCAUUAGCUAGUUGGUAAGGUAACGGCUUACCAAGGCGACGAUGCGUAGCCGACCUGAGAGGGGGGUCGGCCGCACUGGAACUGAGACACGGUCCAGACUCCUACGGGAGGCAGCAGUAGGGAAUCUUCCGCAAUGGGCGGAAGCCUGACGGAGCAACGCCGCGUGAGUGAUGAAGGUCUUCGGAUCGGAAAGCUCUGUUAUUAGGGAAGAACAAAUGUGUAAGUAACUAUGCACGUCUUGACGGUACCUAAUCAGAAAGCCACGGCUAACUACGUG